GAGUUUGAAUCCUGGCUCAGGACGAACGCUGGCGGCGUGCUUAACACAUGCAAGUCGAACGAUGAAACCGCUUCGGUGGUGGAUUAGUGGCGAACGGGUGAGUAACACGUGGGCAAUCUGCCCUUCACUCUGGGACAAGCCCUGGAAACGGGGUCUAAUACCGGAUAACACUCUGUCCCGCAUGGGACGGGGUUGAAAGCUCCGGCGGUGAAGGAUGAGCCCGCGGCCUAUCAGCUUGUUGGUGGGGUAAUGGCCUACCAAGGCGACGACGGGUAGCCGGCCUGAGAGGGCGACCGGCCACACUGGGACUGAGACACGGCCCAGACUCCUACGGGAGGCAGCAGUGGGGAAUAUUGCACAAUGGGCGAAAGCCUGAUGCAGCGACGCCGCGUGAGGGAUGACGGCCUUCGGGUUGUAAACCUCUUUCAGCAGGGAAGAAGCGAAAGUGACGGUACCUGCAGAAGAAGCGCCGGCUAACUACGUGCCAGCAGCCGCGGUAAUACGUAGGGCGCAAGCGUUGUCCGGAAUUAUUGGGCGUAAAGAGCUCGUAGGCGGCUUGUCACGUCGGAUGUGAAAGCCCGGGGCUUAACCCCGGGUCUGCAUUCGAUACGGGCUAGCUAGAGUGUGGUAGGGGAGAUCGGAAUUCCUGGUGUAGCGGUGAAAUGCGCAGAUAUCAGGAGGAACACCGGUGGCGAAGGCGGAUCUCUGGGCCAUUACUGACGCUGAGGAGCGAAAGCGUGGGGAGCGAACAGGAUUAGAUACCCUGGUAGUCCACGCCGUAAACGUUGGGAACUAGGUGUUGGCGACAUUCCACGUCGUCGGUGCCGCAGCUAACGCAUAAGUCCCGCUGGAGAUCCCA
rnacentral:rRNA from 1 species